rnacentral:rRNA from 1 species
UACGGAGGGUGCAAACGUUGUUCGGAAUUACUGGGCGUAAAGCGCGUGUAGGCUGUCUUGCAAGUCGGGUGUGAAAGCCCCCGGGCUCAACCUGGGAAGUGCACUCGAAACUGCAAGACUCGAGUCCUGGAGAGGAAGGCGGAAUUCUCGGUGUAGAGGUGAAAUUCGUAGAUAUCGAGAGGAACACCGGUGGCGAAGGCGGCCUUACUGGACAGUGACGUGACGCUGAGACGGCGAAAGCGUGGGGAGCAAACAGGGAUUAAGAAACCC